CGGGGCGUAGCGAAACGGUAUCGCACUUGUCUGGGGGGCAAGGGACAGCAAGUUCAACUCUUGUCGCUCCGACCA
rnacentral:tRNA from 1 species